GGUGGCUCACGCCUGUAAUCCCAGCACUUUGGGAGGCCGAGGCAGAUCACCUGAGGUCAGGAGUUGGAGACCAGCCUGGGCAACAUAGACCCCUAUCUCUACAAAAAAUUUGAAAUAUGAAAAAUUAGCCAGGUGUAGUGGUGUGCGCCUGUGGUACCAGCUACUCAAGAGGCGAAGGCAGGGAAGAUUGCUUGAGCCCAGGAGUUUGAGGCUAUAGUGAGCUGUGAUCAUGCCACUGCACUCCAGCCUGGGCAAUAGUGUGAGACUCUGUCUCAAAAGAAAGAACAUGGCCAGGCGUGGUGGCUCACACCUGUAAUCCCAGCACUUUGGGAGGCCGAGGCAGUCAGAUCAUGAGGCCAGUUUGAAACCAGCCUGGCCAACAUGGUGAAACCCUGUCUCUACUAAAAAUACAAAAAUUAGCCAGGCGUGGUGGCAUGCCCCCGUAAUCCCAGCUACUUGGGGGUCUGAGGCAGAAGAAUUGCUUGAAACCGGGAGGCAGAGGUUGCAGUGAGCCGAGAUCGUGUCAUUGCACUCUAGUCUGGGCGACAGAGCAAGACUCCGUCUUGGAAAAAAAUUUAAAAAAAGAAAAUAUAAAAUAUGGUAUAAGAUUAAAUAUAUUAGUUAUGAAAAUAAUUGUAAAUGGCUUAUUGAACUUAUAGUCAGUAAAAAUCAUGUUUUUGAAAAUUAUGUAAUGACUUUGGAAAAUACCAGCAAUAUAAUGUUAAGUGGGGAAAAAAGCAAGUUACUCCUCUGUAAUACAUAUGAUUUUAGUUUUGUAAUAAAAAUUCCCAACCAUAUAUGCACUUAUAGGGAAACAAAGGACCCAUCGCAAAUGUUUUCCAUGCUGAUCUCCAAAGUGGUGAGUUUAUGUGUGAUUUUUAUUUUGUUUAUGCUCUUCUGUAUUUUCCGAAUUUCAUACAAUAAAUAUCUGUUACUUUUACAAUAUGAAAAAA
rnacentral:lncRNA from 1 species